UUAUUUUCCAGAUGAGGCCUGCUCAAGAGCAUUUGGCUGAUGGGGGCUGAAACCUCUCACUGCAACCAGGUUCAUUUGGCUCCAAGUCCUGUGUGCUCUUUAUGAAGUCAUAGCAAGGCCUGGACUAGGGUGAGAAAGGACAGGUGCCUGUGAGGCAGGACUUAAAGGAGGCGCUGGCCCUCAGGGGCAUGCGAGGGCAGGGUGAGCACCUGAGAGUGAGGGCCUCCUUAAAGUCUGUGGUCCAGGGUCCUUUGGUCCCCUAAUCCCAGAGCAGAAAAGAAAGCCUUCAAAUCCAGCUGCUGCCUGAAGAGCCUCAGACUCACUCCCCUGGGGCAGCAAAGUGCAUUUCUUUACCCACAAGGCCCUGUAGUGCUGACUGGAAGAUGGGGCUGUCAGGGACUCAUGGGAAAGAAUGGCACAUUGGAUACAAACUCAUUCGGCUUAGUUUUACCCUGUGGCUGCCCCUGUAGUGUCAUUUGUGACACCAGGAAUAUGUUCCAUACCAACCGAAUAGCUUCUCUUCCUAUUCGUGCCAGUGCAUGGAACUAUAUAAUCAUUCAUCUAUUCAUUAAUUCAUUUAUUUGUAGCCUUCCUCUUUAUAUAGGCUUAGAGAGCCACUACUCGAAGCCAAGCCUUACGUCAGGCAGCAGAGAUACCAAGAUGAGGUUGAAGAAAACACACGGCUUUCUCCACUCAUGGACUCCAAUGAGGAUGGCAACAACAUGGUAAUUAGAAGUCAUUAGCAGAUUGCUCUCAGCAAGUGGAAAGCAGUGAGAAUUCUGAAGCAAGACUUCUCUGGACUUCAGGGAAGUCCCUCUAAGGAAGUGACAUCUAAACUGGAACUCCACUGCCUCUAGGCUGAGACUUGACCUUGUGACUCCAGCCUAGGAUUAUAUAAGGAUGUGACUGACCUUAGAGGAUUUCACGGGAACUUAGCUGUACACGUGGAACCCAUUUAUUUGCUGACACUUCUCAUUUCCUUUCAGAACAAACCUACAUUCCCAGACCUAUAAUUUUCUUGAGAAAAUGGGUUUAUUAUAAGUCACUCAAUAAAACACCCUACCAUGGCUUCCCAGUACAAACAUGGAAAAGAGAUUCCCAUGGAUGCAGCAUUCAUAUUCUGGCCUCCAAAGAGAGUCACAUGAUAAGGAGGCCAGGACAGAAUAAUAAAAGGAGCCAGUCCCCUGCAGGUAUCAUGGACUGUUCAACCAGUUCUGGACUUUCACCUGAGAUUUAUUGUCAGGUGAAAAAAAUAGCCUCUAUUUUGUUAAGCUACUGCUGUUUUCUUUCUGUUAUUUGCAGCUAAACUCAGUCCUAACAGAUACAUAAAUCCUGUUCAUUUUUCCAAAGGGUCUUCAGAAAUACUGCCUUGGGUGUCUAACUAUUACUGACUGAAUUGUGCCCCUUUAGAAUUCAUAUGUUGAAGUCCUAACCCCUCAUAAGGGAAUGUGACCAUGUUUGGAGAUAGGGUCUUUAAAAAGGAAAUUACAUUGAAAUGAGCUCAUGAGGGUGGUUCCUAAUCCAGUGUGAUUGGUGUCCUUAUAAAAUGAGGAAAUUGGGACACAGACACAACCACAGAGGGAAAAUGAUAUAAAGAGACACAGGGAGAAGAUAGUCAUCUGUAAGCCAAGGAAAGAGGCCUGGAACAGAUCCUGACCUUACGGCCCUCAGAAGAAACCAACGCUGCCAACACCUUGAUCUCUGACUUCCAGCCUCCAGAAUCACAAGGAAGGUGUAAGAAAACUCUGAAAAAUGAAGAAAAGAAGGAAACUGGCUAGGGACUUCAGAACCUAAGGAACAACAUGAGGGACGUGCAGAUGGGACAGAGAAUCACUGGUGGAGACUGAUCCCAAAGUGGCCAGAGUGCAAGGUGCUUUAUGGCACUGCACCAGUUCCCUAUGAAACCAUACACAUCUCAUUGAGUAAGGAAGGAAGCUGCCUGUGACUGAGACUCUGAAAUGGACCAGGGAGGAAACUGAGUCUUGAAGAGAUUGUGUAACUUUGCAGUGAGUGCAAACCGUAGUAAUUACAAAGUGUGAAUUAAAAACCCAAAAUGCUG
rnacentral:lncRNA from 10 species